UGCUUAGUUUAUCAAAUUCAUAUUACUGAUAAAGUGUUAAAACUUAGAUGAGAUGUUGGUGUUUUAUGGCUCACGAAUUCGCAAUAACGGAUACGUAUAGCAGUUCGUGUUAAUGACAUUAAUCCAAACAUAUUGAUGACGUGAUAACAUGGGCGUCGAAUCCAAUAUUAAUCAUGCUGAGGUUUUCUCGACGGGGUAAUGUGUAUAAAUGCAGUUAUAAAAUUAAAAGGGACAAGAUAGUCGACGUGACCCUCAUGUUUCCAUGGCAAUCAGUCAAUUACAUGUUAACGUUAUGAUCGCACCUGCGGUCAUUCGCGCAGUAUCCAUGAUUUUAAGCGGCAUGAAACACUUAAGUUAACUCGUUUGUACGAAAAUGUCAUGUCGUAGUCCUUCAAAUUAGAAUAGUGAUGAUGAUCUUGUCAAUGCUGAGAUUUUCAUGCAUCAACAGCCACUACAUCUGGAUCAGAUUGAACAAGAAACAGACAGCAAGGGUUGUCAGGUCAGAAACAGAAUGACACACAAACACAAGAAACUUCACAGGCAUAUCAACAUGCAAUUUGAAGACGUGUGAUAAAAUACAGAGAGGUGAAGUAGUGUGUCUUUCCAGAUCCCCAAAUCAUUCCCCCUUAAAAGAUGAGCCUGAAGAGGAGAUUUGGGAAGAUGCUGUUUCAUAAGUCGCUUUGCCUGAUCACAUGUGGUCGGGAUGUCUGCUAACAAGAUGCCUUGCUGGUCUGGGCGAGUAUAAAGGCUUACACAGACAGUCCAGAGGUUCUGAAGUCCAUCUUCGAUCUCAUUGGACGAUUUAAGGUGUAGAAACAUCUCAGCAACCUCAAGAGAAAUUGGAGGCAACUGUGCUGAAUUGCAGAUGAUGUUGCAAAGGGUCUGAAUAUGUAUAAUAUGCUGUCAUCGUAUUAAGUACAGCAUGAGCCAGAAUGGAUGGGUGGUGGUGGCCAUAAGAAGACUGUCAACUUAACCAACAACAAAAUUCAUAUUUGCAGUUUUUCUUGAAUAAAGUUUUUCUAUUCAGAUGAAUAAAAUGACUUUUAAACAUGAUUUUGUUUCAUAUUUUAUGAUUUUAUUCUAUAUUUAGAAAAUUCCACUUCUGCACUACUAACUGGAAACCUAACUGUUUGAAAGAAUGUGUUUUAUCCAU